rnacentral:rRNA from 1 species
UUAAGUUGAUAGACUGUUAUGUUUUAGUGUUUUAGGUUUAUUUGCCUUUUGCAUCAUGCUUAGUGGAUUUUUAUAAAGUAUAUUUUGAAAUCGAAUAGUUUAGAUCUUGAUAUCAAUUGUUUAGAAUGUGUUUUGGGUUAGGUAAAUCUAGGAAAAUUGGUUUUAUGAUGUGAUAAGUUAUUCGUUAAAUUUUAUUUCUGUUUAGUUGCUUGGGUAAUUUGUAUUACGUAACAGGUUAAAAGAUUUGUUAUGUUGUCAUACUAUGAAUGAGAUUUUGUGAAGAUUAGGUUAAAGGUACCUAUUUUUUAUAAAUUUGUUAUAAAAGAUAAUAAGUUUUAUGUAUGAUAGUUGAAGUUGUGUGGCAACUUGAGAUGACAUUUGGUGUAUCAUUUAUCAUUGAAUUAGUAAUUACAUUAUACUAAUUAUUUCUCAGGGUCUUUCCGUCUGUUUAUUAAAAACAUUUCUAGCUUGAAUAUUAGCUAGUAGUGCCUGCCCGGUGUUUAUUAAAGUAAUAAAUGGCCGCAGUAUCUUGACUGUGCAAAGGUAGCAUAAUUAAUUGCCUUUUAAUUGGGGGCUUGUUUGAAUGGUUUGACGUGAUAGAUGUGAAUAUUUGGUAUUAAUUUGAAUUUGAUUUUAGGGAUACAGAAUUCCUAAGUUUUAAUAAGACGGAAAGACCCUGGGAUCUUUCUUUUUUGCUUGGGGCAAGUUUCAUUUUUUCAGUGUAAUUAUGACCCUAUAUAUGGUUUAGUGAGUUAAGUUACCCCAGGGAUAACAGUGUGAUAAUUAAUGAGAGAUCUUAUCGAAUUAAUUGUUUGCCACCUCGAUGUUGACUUAGGUUAAAGUUUAGGUGCAGUAGUCUAAAUUUUAGGUCUGUUCGACCAUUUUUACCUUCAUGAGUUGAGUUAAGACCGGCGUAAGCCAGGUCGGUUCUUAUCUAUUGUAGAAGUUUAUCAGUACGAAAGGAUAGUAAACUUUUUUAUU